UGCAAGCACCGGAUCUGCACAACACCGCUCUUAUCGACAGCCAACCAAGGACAGGAACAGGUUCCUGGUGACCUGCUGUCUCUGCCAAUUCCUAGCUACUGGUGGAUUCUGGGGAAGGGAUAGUCAUUGUCUUCAGUUGUGUACCCAAGGAGUAUGGUGAGCAGUUACUUACAGAAAGAAAUCACUCAAAGAAAGCUGCAUCACUAAAGCCCAUCUCAGCAUGGGAGCCAGCUCUGGAGAGCUGAGGACACUGCAUGUGGCUCAACAGGUGAUACCAUCUACCUUUGCAAGCUUUUCCCUCUCCCCAAAGAGAAGACUCACAUGUGUCGAACCACUGCA